UUGAUCCUGGCUCAGGAUGAACGCUAGCGGCAGGCCUAACACAUGCAAGUCGAGGGGCAUCACGAGGUAGCAAUACUUUGGUGGCGACCGGCGCACGGGUGCGUAACGCGUAUGUAACCUACCUAUAACAGGGGCAUAACACUGAGAAAUUGGUACUAAUUCCCCAUAAUAUUCGGAGAGGCAUCUCUCCGGGUUGAAAACUCCGGUGGUUAUAGAUGGACAUGCGUUGUAUUAGCUAGUUGGUGAGGUAACGGCUCACCAAGGCAACGAUACAGUAGGGGGACUGAGAGGUUAACCCCCCACACUGGUACUGAGACACGGAUCAGACUCCUACGGGAGGCAGCAGUGAGGAAUAUUGGUCAAUGGACGCAAGUCUGAACCAGCCAUGCCGCGUGCAGGAAGACGGCUCUAUGAGUUGUAAACUGCUUUUGUACGAGGGUAAACUCACCUACGUGUAGGUGACUGAAAGUAUCGUACGAAUAAGGAUCGGCUAACUCCGUGCCAGCAGCCGCGGUAAUACGGAGGAUUCAAGCGUUAUCCGGAUUUAUUGGGUUUAAAGGGUGCGUAGGCGGUUUGAUAAGUUAGAGGUGAAAUCCCGGGGCUUAACUCCGGAACUGCCUCUAAUACUGUUAGACUAGAGAGUAGUUGCGGUAGGCGGAAUGUAUGGUGUAGCGGUGAAAUGCUUAGAGAUCAUACAGAACACCGAUUGCGAAGGCAGCUUACCAAACUAUAUCUGACGUUGAGGCACGAAAGCGUGGGGAGCAAACAGGAUUAGAUACCCUGGUAGUCCACGCAGUAAACGAUGAUAACUCGUUGUCGGCGAUACACAGUCGGUGACUAAGCGAAAGCGAUAAGUU
rnacentral:rRNA from 1 species